rnacentral:lncRNA from 1 species
CCCGCCUUGGCCUCCCAAAGUCCUGGGAUUACCAGCGUGAGCCACGGCGCCUGGCCUACUCAGGUGAUUCUCAGGUGCAGCCAGGUAGGAACCAGAGGUUACAUUAUGCUGGGUCAAAUACAAAGUACCACCCACCCCUCUCCACAGGAGGGGAGGGAAAGAGCACAGACACUCAGCUCUGAGCAGAGCUUCUCCUCUGCCUGGGGUUGGGGGGAUGUGGGGAGACGGAGGAGAGAGGAAGAGAAGUGGAGAGGGGGAAGAGAGGGAAGAAGAAAAGGGGGGAAGAGGGGAGAAAGGAGGAAGAAGGGAAGGAGAGGAGAAUGGGGAAAGAGAAAAAGGGGGAUGAGGGAGGACGGGGAGGAAGGAGGGAAGGGGAGGUGGAGGAGGGGGAGGGAAGGGGAGGGAAAAAGGUAGAGGUGGGCUGCCAUUUAUCCAAUAGCCCCUGUGCCCGUUGCCUGAUUCUUUUUUGAUUGUUGUUGCUGAAGAGGGAAUGUGAAUUUCAAGGCUAAAGGCAGAGGGACCGCCUGGGCCAGAGCUCCCAGGCAGCCUUGG